GAUGAACGCUGGCGGCGUGCCUAACACAUGCAAGUCGAGCGAACGGACGAGAAGUUUGCUCCUCUGAUGUUAGCGGCGGACGGGUGAUUAACACGUGUAUAACCUACCUACAAGACUGGGAUAAUAUCGGGAAAUCGGCGCUAAUACCGGAUAAUAUUUUGAACCGCAUGGUUCAAAAGUUAAAGUCGGUCUUGCUGUCACUUAUAGCUGGAUCCGCGCUGCAUUAGCUAGUUGGUAAGGUAACGGCUUACCAAGGCAACGAUGCAUAGCCGACCUGAAAGGGUGAUCGGCCACACUGGAACUGAGACGCGGUCCAGACUCCUACGGGAGGCAGCAGUAGGGAAUCUUGCGCAAUGGGCGAAAGCCUGACGGAGCAACGCCGCGUGAGUGAUGAAGGUCUUCGGAUCGUAAAACUCUGUUAUUAGGGAAGAACAUAUGUGUAAGUAACUGUGCACAUCUUGACGGUACCUAAUCAGAAAGCCACGGCUAACUACGUG
rnacentral:rRNA from 1 species